ensembl:lncRNA
CCUGCCCUGUCUAUUGGAUAACGUCUGUGGGUGAGCUCUAUCCAUGGCCUAUUUCAGGGUAUGAUCAAUUUGCUGCCAUACAGAUGAAUCAUAGAAUCACAGAACCAUAGAAUCAUAGAAUCAUUUGAGUGGGAAGGGACCUUUAUUUUGUCCAGCUCCCCCAUAAUGAACAGGGACACCUACACUAUCUCAGGUGCUCAAGCCCCCAUUCAGCCUGACUUUGGAUGUCUCCAAGGACAGGGCAUCCACCACCUCUGUGGGCAGCCUGUGUCAGUGCCUCAUCACCCUUAUUGUAAAAAACUUCCGUAUAUCCAAUCUAAAUCUCCUCUCUAUUAGUCUGAAACCAUUUCCAUUUGUCCUGUCACAAGAGACUGCAUUAGUAACCUGCUCUGUGUAUGAGACAUACAGAAAGCUUGCAGAAAAUCUAUGGGUGUGCUUAGGCUUGGUAAAUAUGUACAAGACGAAAAAACAGUGAUUUGGUUACCCAUCUCAAUACCUCAACAUCACACGAGAGUCCUGUUUUGCUCUCAGUCUCUCUUGAGUAACACAAAGCCCCAAACCCCUUAUUGACUUGUACAGAUUUUGCAGUCCAUAUACAGAGCAUGUUGUGUGUGGGGGUUUCUAGUGACUGAGAGGUAGAGAAUAUCAGUGACAAAAUUGAGCAAGAUUUCAUUUUCCUUGGUAACUUCCUAUCUGUGGAAGAGGUGCCAUGGAGAUAAGGAUAUGUCUGCUGAUUCCCCAGGACUCCUGGUGUGGGUAAGUCUCUGUCAGCAUCUCAGCAGCAUGUUCCAGGCCAAGUUUCAAAGUAACUUCCAUCCAGUGACUGGGUGACUUCUAUGCUGUGAUUUGGCUGUGCCACUCUUGUACUCCCUUUAUACUGUUGGAAAUAAUCUCAGCAUUGCCCCAUUCCUGCUCUGCUUCCCACAGGAUUGGUGCCACCUGCCCAUGGAUCCUGUUGUGCUUAGUUACCAAGGAGGCCUUUCAGAAGCUGGUGGUCAUGCUGAGACUGAUGGUGCAGCAGAUGGAGAAAAGCUGUGUGUAUGUGAUAGCUGUGCAGAAAGCUGCUCUGGAGCUGAGGUCACUGAGCUCCCAUUUAGCCACCCUUAUAUUCAGCAGUUCCUCCUGCAGCGCCUACACUCCCUGCUCCUCCCAGAAAGCAGCUCCCAUCAUCUCAACUUGCAAAUGGAAGGGGAGCACUGAGCAGCAAGAAAAGAGAUCGAGCAUCAUUCUCUCUUUCUCGAUGCAGCUUAAAUACAGAAAUUUAAACACCUCCUGGAGGGAGGGGUGCACUCAGGCAUCCUCUCAAUUCUUUUCCUUUGCAUUUUGUUCGUGGUAAGACUUUAUUUACAGUGAUAGCGAAUGUGGGUUGUGGUGCUAGAAGUGAAGGCGUGUGGGCAGUGAGGUUGGAAAUUGGCUCAGCAAUCUGCUGGUUUUAUGACUGUGUAUGUAUUGGCUGCUAGCAGCAUCCAUGGUACACUACGGGUUUUCCCCUACUCAAGAACAGGCAGCCCUAGAACUGAGGAAUAAUUUCUAACUCCAGGACGGAGAAGAGAAAUGAAGGGUAACAUGGAAGCUGUCCACCUUCUGACCCAGAAUCAGGGAGCCUUGUUCUUUGCUGCACCUUAUCCAUGGCCAGAUUCACAAGAAGCAGUGUUCUGAAGGUGUAGGCAUUAGUGGAGGCACGAGCUCAAAGCACGGCGAUGGUGCAGACCAUGUCAGAACAGGAAUUAACAAAGCUGGCCAUGUGCGCUGUGCUAAACUCAUGCAAUAGGGAUCUCCAAAAAUGUGUAAGGUUGGAGCCAGCCCCUCCCGUUUAGGACUGGGGUUUGCUUUGAGAUGCUCGCCUUUUGUUGUGGAGAGACCUCUCUUUUCUGGAGUCAAAGUGCAAAAAUAUAGUCAUAGCCCUGUUAUGCCCAUAACUUGCCUGUGUGUUUUUAUGCUUUCUUUUGCUGGUUGAUAGAUUACUCUAAUGGCUGUGUUGACAUUCAUUUAAUGGUACUCACUAACACUUUCAUUUAAUAAAAGUCUUUUCUCACUUUGAACUGGAGCA